rnacentral:rRNA from 1 species
GACUAAGCUUAAAAUUAGCUAUGUUUAUAAAGUGUUAUAAUUAAUAUUAAAAUUGUAAAUUAUUUUUAUACCCUUUAAAUUCAUAUUGAAAAUUAAUUUAAAAUCUUAUAAAGUGGGUUAUAGUGAGUAUAUUAGUAUAUAAUGGUGUGGGGGGAAUACACGUAAAAUGACGAAUAAAUUUUAUAUGUUUUUAUGGUGGGCUCAAGGAACUCGGCAAAUAAUUAUUUCUGCCUGUUUAACAAAAACAUGUCUAUAUGAGAGAUAUAUAAAGUCUAACCUGCCCAUUGAGAUUUAAAAGGCCGCGGUAUUAUGACCGUGCUAAGGUAGCAUAAUCAUUAGUCUUUUAAUUGAAGGCUGGUAUGAAUGGUUGGACAAGAGAUAAGCUGUCUCGAGCAAAAAUAUUGAAUUUAACUUUUAAGUGAAAAGGCUUAAAUUUUCUAGGGGGACGAUAAGACCCUAUAAAACUUUAUAUUUUAAAAAUAUUAACUAGUUUUGUAUAAGAGGGUUUUUUUUUGAGUAUUUUAUUGGGGUGAUAGGGAUAUAAUAAAAGAUAACUGUCUCUUUUUUUUUACAGAGAUAUUUGAGUAAAUGAUCCUAAUAAGGGAAAGAAGGUUAAGUUACUUUAGGGAUAACAGCGUAAUUUUCUUUAAGAGUUCUUAUCGACAAGAGAGUUUGCGACCUCGAUGUUGAAUUAAAAGUUCUUUAUGGAGCAGAAACUAUAACAGAAGGUCUGUUCGACCUUUAAAUUUUUACAUGAUUUGAGUUCAGACCGGUGUAAACCAGGUUGGUUUCUAUCUCUUAGGGGCUAAAUAAUUAUUUUAGUACGAAAGGACUGAAUAAU